rnacentral:rRNA from 1 species
UGGGGAAUAUUGCACAAUGGGGGAAACCCGUGAUGCAGCGACGCCGCGUGAGUGAAGAAGUUAUUCGUAAUGUAAAGCUCUAUCAGCAGGGAAGAAAGUGACGGUACCUGAGUAAGAAGCACCGGCUAAAUACGUGCC